rnacentral:rRNA from 1 species
UACGGAGGGGGCUAGCGUUGUUCGGAAUUACUGGGCGUAAAGCGCACGUAGGCGGCUUUGUAAGUUAGAGGUGAAAGCCCAGGGCUUAACCCUGGAAUUGCCUUUAAGACUGCAUCGCUAGAAUCGUGGAGAGGUGAGUGGAAUUCCGAGUGUAGAGGUGAAAUUCGUAGAUAUUCGGAAGAACACCAGUGGCGAAGGCGACUCACUGG